rnacentral:rRNA from 1 species
AGAGUUUGAUCAUGGCUCAGGAUGAACGCUAGCGGCAGGCUUAACACAUGCAAGUCGAGGGGCAGCAUAAUGGAUAGCAAUAUCUAUGGUGGCGACCGGCGCACGGGUGCGUAACGCGUAUGCAACCUACCUUUAACAGGGGGAUAACACUGAGAAAUUGGUACUAAUACCCCAUAAUAUCAUAGAAGGCAUCUUUUAUGGUUGAAAAUUCCGAUGGUUAGAGAUGGGCAUGCGUUGUAUUAGCUAGUUGGUGGGGUAACGGCUCACCAAGGCGACGAUACAUAGGGGGACUGAGACGGUUAACCCCCCANACCUGGUACUGGAGACACGGACCAGACUCCUACGGGAGC